rnacentral:rRNA from 1 species
UGAGUAAUAUAUCGGAACGUCGCCCAGUCGGUGGGGGAUAACGUAGCGAAAGUUACGCUAAUACCGCAUACGAUCUACGGAUGAAAGCGGGGGACUCGCAAGAGCCUCGCGCGAUUGGAGCGGCCGAUAUCAGAUUAGGUAGUUGGUGGGGUAAAGGCUCACCAAGCCAACGAUCUGUAGCUGGUCUGAGAGGACGACCAGCCACACUGGGACUGNGAAACACGGCCCAGACUCCUACGGGAGGCAGCAGUGGGGAAUUUUGGACAAUGGGCGCAAGCCUGAUCCAGCAAUGCCGCGUGCAGGAUGAAGGCCUUCGGGUUGUAAACUGCUUUUGUACGGAACGAAACGGUGAGCUCUAAUACAGUUUGCUAAUGACGGUACCGUAAGAAUAAGCACCGGCUAACUACGUG